UACAGAGGUCCCAAGCGUUGUUCGGAUUCACUGGGCGUAAAGGGUGCGUAGGUGGGCAGGUAAGUCAGUGGUGAAAUCUCCGGGCUUAACUCGGAAACUGCCAUUGAUACUAUCUUUCUUGAAUACCGUGGAGGUCAGCGGAAUAUGUCAUGUAGCGGUGAAAUGCUUAGAUAUGACAUAGAACACCAAUUGCGAAGGCAGCUGGCUACACGAAUAUUGACACUGAUGCACGAAAGCGUGGGGAUCAAACAGG
rnacentral:rRNA from 1 species